rnacentral:lncRNA from 1 species
CGGUCUAUAUGUCUAACAAGCUGUGUCUUCAGGUCCAACAGUCUGUCGACACGGCUAUCAGUCGAUCUAUUUGUUUACCAAGCUGUGUGACUGUCUACAUGUCCAUCAGUCUGUCAACAUGUUCACAAGUCUGUCUACAUGCUUAAACGUUUGUAAUUGCAUUUUGUUGUACAUUGAUUGACUGAUCGUCCAACUCAUCAAUUUGCUAACAGCUUCAUGCAUUCUUUUGAACUGAAAAUUCACUGUGUGUAUUCUCCAUACCAAUACCCUUCACCACACCACCCUUUGUUUGCACCGAACUCCAAACCCAGGGAAAAUCCUCUUUUACUUUCUUUUAAUUAGCAUGAUUUUUCAC